rnacentral:rRNA from 1 species
AAGCGGUGGAGCAUGUGGCUCAAUUCGAGGCUACGCGAAGAACCUUAUCCCGGGCUUGACAUGCACGGAUUAGGCGGCGGAAACGUCGCUGACGCCGCAAGGUGGAACGUGCACAGGUGCUGCAUGGCUGUCGUCAGCUCGUGCCGUGAGGUGUUGGGUUAAGUCCCGUAACGAGCGAAACCCCUGUGGUCAGUUGCCAGCGCGUCAUGGCGGGGACUCUGAUCAGACCGCCGGCGUCAAGCCGGAGGAAGGCGGGGACG